rnacentral:rRNA from 1 species
UACGUAGGGGGCUAGCGUUGUCCGGAUUUAUUGGGCGUAAAGAGCGAGUAGGCGGCUGGGUAGGUCCGUUGUGAAAACUCGAGGCUCAACCUCGAGACGCCGAUGGAAACCCUCCAGCUAGAGUCCGGUAGAGGAGUGUGGAAUUCCCGGUGUAGCGGUGAAAUGCGCAGAUAUCGGGAGGAACACCCGUAGCGAAGGCGGCACUCUGGGCCGGAACUGACGCUGAGGAGCGAAAGCGUGGGGAGCAAACAGG